AUACGGAGGGUGCAAGCGUUACUCGGAAUCACUGGGCGUAAAGCGCGCGCAGGCGGCUAUUUAAGUUGGAUGUGAAAGCCUACGGCUCAACCGUAGAACUGCAUCCAAAACUAUUUAGCUAGAGUGUGGGAGAGGAAGAUGGAAUUAGUUGUGUAGGGGUAAAAUCCGUAGAGAUAACUAGGAAUACCAAAAGCGAAGGCAAUCUUCUGGAACACUACUGACGCUGAGGCGCGAAAGCGUGGGGAGCAAACGGGAGUAGAAACCCCGGUAGUCC
rnacentral:rRNA from 1 species